GAUGAAGAACGCAUCGAAAUGCGAUAACUAAUGUGAAUUGCAGAAUUCAGUGAAUCAUCGAGUCUUUGAACGCACAUUGCGCCCCCUGGUAUUCCGGGGGGCAUGCCUGUCCGAGCGUCAUUGCUGCCCUCAAGCACGGCUUGUGUGUUGGGCUCCGUCCCCCCGGGGACGGGCCCGAAAGGCAGCGGCGGCACCGAGUCCGGUCCUCGAGCGUAUGGGGCUUUGUCACCCGCUCUGUAGGCCCGGCCGGCGCCAGCCGACAACCCAUCAUCCUUUUCAGGUUGACCUCGGAUCAGGUAGGGAUACCCGCUGAACUUAAGCAUAUCAAUAAGCGGAGGA
rnacentral:misc_RNA from 1 species